CCUACGGGUGGCAGCAGUGAGGAAUAUUGGUCAAUGGGCGCGAGCCUGAACCAGCCAAGUCGCGUGAGGGAUGAAGGUUCUAUGGAUCGUAAACCUCUUUUAUAAGGGAAUAAAGAGUGGGACGUGUCAUAUUUUGUAUGUACCCUAUGAAUAAGGAUCGGCUAACUCCGUGCCCGCAGCCGCGGUAAUACGGAGGAUCCGAGCGUUAUCCGGAUUUAUUGGGUUUAAAGGGUGCGUAGGCGGCCUUUUAAGUCAGCGGUGAAAGUCUGUGGCUCAACCAUAGAAUUGCCGUUGAAACUGGGGGGCUUGAGUGUGUUUGAGGCAGGCGGAAGGCGUGGUGUAGCGGUGAAAUGCUUAGAUAUCACGCAGAACCCGGAUUGCGAAGGUAGCCUGCCACGCCAUGACUGACGCUGAUGCACGAAAGCGUGGGGAUCAAACAGGAUUAGAUACCCGGUAGUC
rnacentral:rRNA from 1 species